GGAGAAAUAGAAGUUGAGCAGGCCACCAACAGGAACCACAAUAGUCUACAAAUGCCUGCAACAAAGGACUAGUCCUAAGAUGUUGAGGGCAACAUCUUAGUGCACCUCUUCACUUAGAAAUCAAGUCGUUUGUCAGGUGCCAAUGAAAAAAUUUUCAAUACCUUCAGACUGACAGUCUCCAGAAGUGAAUGCUGGCUCUCCACAGCUCACUAAAGGUCACCUAGCACGGCACAUGGCCAAGUGGAUGUUUUGGGAUUGGCUCAUUCCUCCCUCUGCUUUGAGGCCCCAAGGAUCUGGGGUUGCUCUCCUGUGUUGACGGAUCCUCCAAACGUCUAUACAAUGCUCACUCCACACUUGGCAAAGAGAAUCUCCUCUGGGAUAGAGCCACAUAGGCCUGAAGAGAGAUGACUCCCAGUCCUGUCCUUUCACUUCAAAUAAAUAAACACAAAAGUAAAACAAAAGACAGACAGACAAAAAGCAGACUCAAGGAACAGAAUUAGGAAAACGUACGCUUUCACAAAAACAAGAGAGAGUAAAAGGACACCAAGGGGAAAACCUACCUCUGUUCACCCGAGCUCUGAGGAAUCAGUAUUUUUAAAACUAUUUUUUUAAAAGGUAAAGAUUUGUUAUCUAUCCUCCUCUUCCUAACAGUCCUUUUUUUCCAGCAGUUUCUUUAUUCAUCGGAGGCAGGAGGAUGAACAAAGGCCCGCUCCUUCUCAAGAAACACCCCCCUCCUUCCUCAUCUCCACACCCCUGCCUUGACUUCAGGAAACGUGUUCAGAGAAAACAAUUCCAGUUACUGGAAGAUCUUAAGGCUUUCCUCUGUGGGUUAACAACAGCCUGGCCUCCAACCCCCAAGAAAAGAUAUUUACUAAGCAAUAACAACACCUUUUAUGUUAUCUCAAUAUUAGGCAAGUCACUUCAUCUGUCUUAAUUCGGAUUCCUUUAUCACACAGUGAUGAAGCUUAGAUAGAUUAGCAGUUUGAAAAGUGUGUGUUUCUAUGUAUUUAAAUGACAGAAGAUUGCUUUAAAUAACAUCAUCUUAUGUGGAGCUCACAUAAAAAAAAAAACAGGUAAAAGCAGAGGUGCUUUGAUUGAGGGAAGGGUGGGAGUGAUAAGGCUGGGUAAGAGGAGGAUGCUAUGGUUUGAAUAUCCUCUCCAGGACUCAUCAGCUGCCACUGUGAUGGUAUGAAGGGGUGGGACCUUUAAGAGGUGAUUAAGGGCCCUUGUGAAUGGAUUAAUGUCAUUAUCAGGAAAUGUGUUUGUGGAUGCAAGUUGAUAGAGGGGGUUGUUAAUAAAUUUGGCCCCCUCUGGCCCUCUCUUUCUGCCUCAUAUAUGCUCACUUUCCCUUUCACAUGUUAUGAUGCAGCAAGAAGACCCUCAUCUCACACAGCAAGAUGCAGCCCCUUGAUCUUGGACUUCCCAGCAUCCAGAACCUAAGGUAAAUAAACUUCUAUUGUUUAUGAUUUACCUCGCCUGGGGUAUUCUGUUAUAGCAGCAGCAACUGGACUAAGACAGAAGAGUUUCUAGACCCUGG
rnacentral:lncRNA from 1 species